AGAAUCAACGCUGGCGGCGUGCCUAACACAUGCAAGUCGCACGAGAAAGUGGAGCAAUCCACGAGUAAAGUGGCGCACGGGUGAGUAACACGUGACUAACCUACCCUCGAGUGGGGAAUAACUUCGGGAAACCGAGGCUAAUACCGCAUAAAACCUAAGGGUCAAAGGAGCAAUCCGUUUGAGGAGGGGGUCGCGGCAGAUUAGUUAGUUGGCGGGGUAAUGGCCCACCAAGACGAUGAUCUGUAUCCGGCCUGAGAGGGCGCACGGACACACUGGAACUGAAACACGGUCCAGACUCCUACGGGAGGCAGCAGUGGGGAAUUUUGCGCAAUGGGGGAAACCCUGACGCAGCAACGCCGCGUGGAGGAUGAAAUCCCUUGGGAUGUAAACUCCUUUCGAUCGGGAAGAUAAUGACGGUACCGGAAGAACGAAGCCCCGGCUAACCUUCGUGCCAGCAGCCGC
rnacentral:rRNA from 1 species